GCAGGGAGCGCGUCCGCAACACGGUUCCCUGCGCCGGAUGUAAAGAGCCAACAAAGAGGCCAUUUACUCCCAAUUAGGGAAAUAAACCAGGACAGGUGGAGGGGGGCAAAGCGCGAGUCCAAUCAGCACCAGGGGUCCCUGGACAGCGGCGGCGGACUCAUCAUCAUCAUCCUCAUCCUCAGCCCGCCGGCAGGACGGCGCGGAGGGACUGAGUUCUCCCUUUCCUCCAGCAGGCCCAACAACAUGCUCGGCCCGGGCCUCCAGCAGCGCACGAGAUGAGACGAGACCGCCGGGUUCUACACGUCCCACCAGAGAGCUGGCUGCAAGUCGAAAAGCGCCACAGGAGCCAGAUUCAGGAGGCCCCCGAAGGAGCUUUGCCCUGACGGCUCAGCCUCACGAUGGACCAACUGGCAGUGUGUUCUUUUCUAUCAACACGCAGACGGUGAUAACACACGCGCGUGUCCCCUCGGACAGUCCGCGAUCACCCUCGUUACACGGUGAGGUUUGCCAGCCAGAGGAACAAAAACAGGCCAAACCAAGGAGGUGUUGAUGGUGCUGAUGGU
ensembl:lncRNA